rnacentral:rRNA from 1 species
GCCAGACUCCUACGGGAGGCAGCAGUGGGGGAUAUUGCACAAUGGGGGGAACCCUGAUGCAGCGACGCCGCGUGGGUGAAGGAGCGUUUCGGCGCGUAAAGCCCUAUCGGCAGGGAAGAAGGAGGACGGUACCUGACUAAGAAGCCCCGGCUAACUACGUGCCAGCAGCCGCGGUAAUACGUAGGGGGCAAGCGUUAUCCGGAUUUACUGGGUGUAAAGGGAGCGUAGGCGGUUUAGCAAAUCAGAAGUGAAAGCCCGGGGCUCAACCCCGAGACUGCUUUUGAAACUGUUGAACUAGGUUGCAGGAGAGGUAAGUGGAAUUCCUAGUGUAGCGGUGAAAUGCGUAGAUAUUAGGAGGAACAUCAGUGGCGAAGGCGACUUUCUGGACUGUAACUGACGCUGAGGCACGAAAGUGUGGGGAGCAAACAGGGUUAGAUACCCGAGUAC